UCUUAUCCUAACAACCUACCCAAUUAAAAUAAACCACAUCAUACCCUGCCCCUACCCCUACCCCCACCUCACUACCCCACCUACCCUUCCCCACUACCACAUAAUUCUCAUUCUGACCAGAAAACCAUCAACACACCUCACAGCAUACAUACACACACAAUAUCCACGCACAGGACCAGAAUAUUCACGCAUCAUCCUCAUCGGAACUCCAUUCUUCACACACAUCUAUCACCGAACAUACAAACCCAAUAAUAAAAAAAUGAUAGAAUUUAGGGAGGAAGAGAAUCGGAACGGAGAGCAACACAGUGAAGAAAAAGAGCGAAAUCGAGGAACUGAAAUAGAGAAGUAAAUCGAAAGGGAGAAAGAGAUCGAGGGAGGGAGAACAAAAGGAGGAUCAUCUUCUUCCUUUUUCCAAGGAAGAAGCUCCAUUUUUGGGUUUCAUUUUUGAUUCAUCAAGAACAAUACACACACACUACAUAGUAAAGGAGGGAAAGGAAAUUUGAACGAGAGUGAAUCGAGAGAAGAUAAACAAAGAGAGGGAUGACAGGAAAAUGAUGUGAGAGAUAGAGAUCGGGGUGACCGAAGAAGGAGAAAUUGAGACAGAUCGAAGAAAGAGAGAGUGAAAAUAAGAAGAGAGAGAGAGAACUGGUGGUGGUAGACUGUUCCGGCGAUUCGCCGCCGGAAAAAGUGUCAUCGCAGCUCAAAAUUUGAUCCAAUUUUUUUAGUUCUAUUCCUUCUGAUCUCGUCAGAGUUCGUCAGCUCCGUCCCAUUUCGGGUAACGCUGAAACGGACGACCCAGGUCAUAAAUCCCAAAAUUUUCCAAUUUUUUUGGUGGUUUCUAGGCUAACCCGGCCGGAAAACACUAGAAGUCACCGGAAUCAGCCUUUCUCGUUGACAUUCGCGACUGUUCGAGUUCAUCAAAACUCCGGGCAUGUAGUUUUCUUGGUUUUCUUGUGAUUCUCAUUUUUUUGGGUUCACUGUUCGUCGUGGUUUCAGGAAUUCGAAUUGGAUUUUGAAGACUAUCAGGUUGGAGUUGGAUCAUAGUUGAGAUUGUGGUAUUCUUCGAGGCUCCAGGACGGCUCUUAUUUCUCUUCUUAAAUCAAUCAAAAUCUUUUGAGGUCUAAUUCUAUUCUUUUCCUCUUUUAUUUCUCAUUGUUUACUAUAUUUGAUGUGUUGGACUUAAUAUCGUGUGUUGACUUGAUCCCUGUUGGUGAUGAAUGUAUGUUUGUUUUGAUUCUUGGUUGGUCCCUUGAUUAUGGUUUGUAUGGUGAAAUGGUCUCUCGUUUGAGAAAUAAAAUUUGUUAUUUGGGGCGCGAAUUGAAAAAAUUGCUAAAGUGAAUUAGGAUUAAUUUUGAUUUAUUGUUGUUUUGAUUCAUGGACGCCGUCGAUCGUGAUAGUGCCAUGAUAGGUCAAGUUGGGUAGGCAAACAGUAGGCUUGGGUAGGCAAAGUUUAGUAUCUGUGAUUGUUGAAUGAUGAAAUAUUUGUGGAGUGGUUUUGAUUUAUGCAUUGAGAUCUAUUGUAUUCAUUUGGCCGGGGAAUGUCCUGAGAGAUUUGUAUUCAUUUAUCCGAGGAAUGCCCCGAAGUAUCAUGUGCUUGAAGACGGCGCACGAUCAAGGCCCGGAACGUUGGGUGGAGAAAGCAAUGGAGCGUAGUUAGGAUUAGCCUAGAAUAGAGUAGGUUUAUAUUUCCGUAUCUUUUUAUUUCGAGACUGUAUAAUUGGACUGAACACUAAAUUUUGGAUUGUUUUAUUUUGUUUUGCUUGAUUGAUUGUUUUGUGUGCCUUGUGUGGUUUAUACAUUCGUAGUGUCAAAUUAGCCGAUAUGCUCCACCAAACGACCGUAGUCUAACCACGGGAUCAAGGGGUGCCUAACACCUUCCCCUCAGUCAACAGAAUUCCUUAGUCGGAAUCUCCGUUCGCAAAUUAGUUUUACAGAGUCGAAAUUAUUUUUGAAAAAGGAUGUCCAUAGGUGACUUGGCACACCCGAUUUAUGCUAAGUGGCGACUCUGAGUUUUGAGUGUAAAUAAUCCUUUUCGAAAAUAAUUUUCAUCUUUCGUCACUUUAAUAAUAAAACCCUUUCGAACCAUGAAAUUAAUCUUUUGGAGUACGAAAAAGGGGUGUGACACUACUAUAUUUUGAAUUUAAUAUUCCGAAUUUUGUACGGAUUUAAAUUUAAUAAAAUUGCAUCGCCCACAAAUGCCUUCUACUUCAAGACUUGUCGACACAUUUAAUAUUUUGGAGACUAGCCUUGAAGUAUGAUUAUUUAAGCAUGUUUCCUUUGUGUUUCAACGAUCCUCAUACCUAUGAAUACCACAUUCAAAAAUUUAAAGUCGAACUAUAUUGAUAUUGCCUCUCAUAACUCUCUCAUUUUUUCUACGAAUCUCUACACUUAAGACCCAUUGGUGAGGCAUGAUAUUCAAUUUCAAACAGAUUUUCGAAGACUUUUUUAUCGCCUUACUUAAUCAUGAAUAAAAAUCUUCCGAUUUGAACUUAGAUUGGAGAAGGAAACAACCUCCAAUUUGGCUUUGUAUGGGAGAAAGAAACAAUCUUUGAUUUGAAUUUGUAUGGAAGAAGGAAAUAACCCCCAAUUUGAAUUUGUAUGGGAAAAGAAAANNNNNNNNNNNNNNNNNNNNNNNNNNNNNNNNNNNNNNNNNNNNNNNNNNNNNNNNNNNNNNNNNCAUCGCCCACAAAUGCCCCCUACUUCAAGACUUGUCGAGACAUUUAAUAUUUUGGAGACUAGCCUUGAAGUAUAAUUAUUUAAGCAUGUUUCCUUCAUGUUUCAACGAUCCUUAUAUCUAUAAAUACCACAUUCAAAAAUUUAAAGCCGAACCAUAUUGAUAUUGCCUCUCAUAACUCUCUCAUUUUUUCUACGAAUCUCUACACUUAAGACCCAUUGGUGAGGCAUGAUAUUCAAUUUCAAACAGAUUUUCGAAGACUUUUUUAUCGCCUUACUUAAUCAUGAAUAAAAAUCUUCCGAUUUGAACUUAGAUUGGAGAAGGAAACAACCUCCAAUUUGGCUUUGUAUGGGAGAAAGAAACAAUCUUUGAUUUGAAUUUGUAUGGAAGAAGGAAAUAACCCCCAAUUUGAAUUUGUAUGGGAAAAGAAAAAAAUCCCCAAUUUGAAUUUGUAUGGGAAAAGAAAACAAUCUCUAAUUUGAAUUUAGGGAUAGAAAUUAUUUCAAUCUGAAUUUAAAUUGGAGAAGAAAACAAUCUCCAAUUUGAAUUUAGAGAUGAAAACUAUUCCAAUCUGAAUUUAUAUUGGAGAAGGAAACAAUCUCCAAUUUGAAUUUGGAGAUGGAAAUUAUUCCAAUCUGAAUUUAUAUUGAAAAAGGAAACAAUCUCCAAUUUGAAUUUGGAGAUUGAAAUUAUUCCAAUCUGAAUUUAUAUUGGAGAAGGAAACAUCCAUCCUACAAAUCUAUAAAAGGAGGUAGUUUCUCUACUUUUUCAAUAUCAAUUUUGGGGUUUUCAAGCCAUCAACAAUAUUGAGGUAAUUUCUUUUCCUCCUACUUUUCUCUUAUUUUCGUCACUUUUUUUUCAGCACAGCAUGUUGGUGGUAGAAAAUUCAUAUCUAAUUGUAGGAAUAUCGAAAUCAUGAACCGUUUGAUAUUACAGAAACUAGACUUCAAGAUAUAUAACAUAUCCAAAAUUCAGCUUCAAAUUCUUUCAAUAUAAUUCUCGAUAAUUUUUUGAAGUUAGCCCUGAAUUUUAUCAUGAUAAAAAUUUCAGAUCUGCGUGACUUUACUAAACCUUUCAUAUCUUGAAGUAGAAAAGAUGAAAUCACAAGCUGCUUAAUUCUUGUGAAACUAGACACAAAGAUCUAUAAUAUAUCCAAAAUUCAUAAUUUAAUACAAUUGAAAUAUUUUCAGGUGUUAUCCCAAAAUUAACAUUGAGUUUUGAUGCAUCAACAAUUUCAGAUUUACGCGACAUCAUCAAAAAAAUUAUAUCUCAAUGUGAGAGUAUUGAAAUUAUGAUCCGCUUAAUCCUACAGAUGCCGGAAACAUGCAUGUAUAACAUAUCAAAAAUUUAGAUUUUAACACCUUUUUUAUUGGUCUAGAUGAUUUUUUUGAUGUCCAUCUUGACAGAGGAUUCCAGAUUUGCAUUGCCUCACCAAAUAAUUUAUUUCUUGAUGUGGGACCAUCACCACCAAAGGGCGUUUUUAUUUCCUCAAACCAGAUUUUGAGGAAUUUAUUCUCAUCAAGGCAUCUUAUCUCAAUCGAAGUUGGUGAUAUACAACUUUUAAGAUCACAACGCUUUGAUAG
rnacentral:lncRNA from 1 species